GCGAACAGUAGGCAGCGAUAUUCCUUAAACUCAAGGUCCACUUACAGUUCUUUCUUUUUUGAACGUUCAUCCACAUCUUUUAACGCCACUGGAGUCUGCUCAGCUGUUGUGAGGAUAGCACACGAUAAAAAAGAAUAUUUGGACAUAAAAAAGCCUCAUGGUCCACCGUUUUUCUUUUACCUGGAGCUUUCAAGUGCUUCCCAUGGACUACUACUAGACGACUAUGGACGACUAUUUUUUUAAAGGGGUGUUGUUCUCCUGGGCUUUGCUCAACAUGCUGUUUAAAUCUACUCCCACUGACUUGCCAGUAUCCUGAGAGUGAGUCACUGGCUGACUUGUGGGAGCAGAUCCAGGGUUUCCCGUGGAGGAGGAAACGGCAGUUUCAGCUGUGUUGCCAGCAGCGUUGCUGGGUGGUAUGGUCUUUGGGAGGAGGUCGGGACGACCUGACUGCAUGACUGGGUGGUACAGGAAGAAAAACGUGUCAGAGCUGAACUGAUGUUGGAGUACAGGCUGCUGGUUGUUGCUGCUGGUUGGGGUCAACAGAAGAGGCCCAGAGCCAGCUCCUUUUCUCAAAGGACCGUGGCCAACUGCACGGCGCUUCUUAGACGGGGAGGUCUU